UCCCUGGAGGUCCAGUGUCUAAGACUCCUUGUUUCCAGUGCAAGAGGCCUGGGUUCGAUCCCUGGUUAGGGAA
rnacentral:tRNA from 1 species